rnacentral:lncRNA from 1 species
UAUUAUAUUUUAUCGACCUCUACAGUGUAUUUUUAGAUUUAUUUUUCUUCAAUCUUGUACUUUUUUUUUCUCACAAAUAUCACUAACAACUAUAUUUUUCUCGCCAACGUUACUCUAGAUAUACUGACCAUCCCUUACGCAAGUGGCAAAUGGUUUGGUGGUUGAUACCUGAGGUCCAAAAUUCAGAUCCUAAUUGAUUCACAUUUCCAGCUAAGUUUAUUUAUAAAAGAAAUAAAUAAAGCAGGUAGCAUGUUACCUUUCUCUCUUUAAAAGAAAAAAAAAUAUUACCGUUGAUAUAU